UGAUUUUUCUCCCCCUUUCUCUCGAAACAAACGUUAAAAAAUAAAAAUCUAAGAAGGCCAAUGUCAUUGGAGGUUGCUGGUCUGCAAUAGGGUUUAUCAAAUAUCCAAAUACCCACACGAUUCCAACUAGCAUAACUGUUCCCACAUUGGAAUUUGGUGUUUCUUUAUUGGUUUUCCCUGAAUUUUGUGUUUGGACAAUCAAUUUCAAAUGGGCAUUGAUGAAAUGUUUGCCUGGUUGAGUUACAUUCUAUUUUCUUCCAGUUUCUGGGAGAAGAAAGAUGGAAUGAUGUCAGUUGUUUCAAAGAUUCCAAUUCAAGAUUUCUGCUUUUUAAUUACUUGUAUUAAUUUAAAGAAAUGCUGAGAAAUGAUGCCAUUAAUAUUUAGUAUUCAAGCAAAGAAUUCCUUGUUUUCCUGUCCUAAUCUGGUGAUAUGCCAUAAAUUUGGCUUCCUAUGCAUCAGGGCAGACUCAAGGUUUUUGAGCUGUGGUGGUUGUUUCAAAAGAAACUGGAUGGGGAGUCUAGCAUUAGCAUAUUCUACAACAAUCAUGUUGAGGUGUUUAAUCACAACUUGGUGAAAUCUUGAUCUCUGUAAUUGCAGACAGUCAAGUUAUAAUGUGUCGUCUUCGAACUUGGGAUGAAGAGGAUGAAGACCACUCCCUGAAUACUGGUAAUCAGCUGGAGCAUGAUGAGAUGAGGGUGGAAGUUCGGGUUGCCAUGCUGCGAGCACAGAUAGCAGGGAUUGAAGCUCGGGUGGAAAGACUAGAGGCAAGGAUGUUGUAUCUGCAAAGGGGAUUGCAUAUCAUUUCUGCCCUGUUUUUUGCUACACUUGUGUAUGCAUUGUUGAAAUGACACAAACGUAGCUAUUAUUACUGCCUAUAAUUUGAAAGAACGUGUCACAGAUUGCAUUGCUUGUUUCAUUCUGAGGCUAAUACCUUUGUCUUGCCCUAA